rnacentral:rRNA from 1 species
AUGGUGGUGAAACUAGUAGAUGGUCGUUGGGAGGUGGUGUACUAUGUUGGUGAGCAUAACCAUAAGUUAGUAGACAAGCCAUCUUUGAAGAAGUACUUGCGAUUGCACCAAGGGAUACCUCCAGAAGAAAAGGCAUUCCUAACACAUCUUCACAACUGUAAUUUAACUACAGGGCGUAUGAUGCAUAUUAUGUCAGACUUCUAUGGCACAGAGCUGAUCGUCCCCUAUGGUACUAAGCACAUUACAAACCUGAAGACAAUGUUAAACAAAGAUGCCACCAAAGAAGGAGAUAUGAUUGAGACAGUUGCCUACUUCAAAGAUCAACAA